rnacentral:rRNA from 1 species
AUGGGUUACUUAAGCAAGGCUCUAGCCCCUCGCAAUCUUAGGUUGUUGGCCAACGAAAAAGAGUGCCUGGCUCUUCUCCUGGCAGUGGAUCAUUGGAGCCCCUACCUCCAGCAUAAAGAGUUUGUGGUUCGGACGGACCAAAAGAGCUUGCUCAAUCUGAUGGAUCAAAGGCUCAACACACCAAUACGGCAGCGAGCAUUCACCAAACUUGUCGGGUUGCAGUUCACUAUUCAGUAUAAGGCGGGGCUAACCAACAGGGCUGUAGAUGUGCUCUCUCGUCGCGUACCCGGACAGGAAAUAGAAAUGGCAGUUCUCGAUGUGCAAGCUCACGUGGCUGGAAGCGAUCAAACAGAGCCAUCGACAAGAUAUCACCGCUACUCAGUGCAUGAUAAAGUUGGCAUUGGAUCCGGACAGUGA